rnacentral:rRNA from 1 species
GAUGAACGCUAGCGGCAGGCUUAAUACAUGCAAGUCGAGGGGCAGCACAGAUAGCAAUAUUGGGUGGCGACCGGCAAACGGGUGCGGAACACGUACACAACCUUCCUUUUGGUGGGGGAUAGCCUUUGGAAACGGAGAUUAGUACCCCAUAAGAUAUUGGGACCGCAUGGUUUUGAUAUUAAAGAUUUAUUGCCAGAAGAUGGGUGUGCGUAUGAUUAGGUAGUUGGUGAGGUAAAGGCUCACCAAGCCGACGAUCAUUAACUGGUGUGAGAGCACGACCAGUCACACGGGCACUGAGACACGGGCCCGACUCCUACGGGAGGCAGCAGUAAGGAAUAUUGGUCAAUGGACGGAAGUCUGAACCAGCCAUGCCGCGUGGAGGAUGAAGGUCCUCUGGAUUGUAAACUUCUUUUAUAUGGGGCGAAAAAGGGCCAUUCUUGGUCAACUGACGGUACCAUAUGAAUAAGCACCGGCUAACUCCGUGCCAGCCGCCGCGGUAAGAC